rnacentral:tRNA from 1 species
ACUCGCUUGGUGAAAAAAGGUAAACACGAUGGAUUUAAAAUCCGUUCUCUUUUAGAGUUAUCGGUUCAAAUCCGAUAGCGAGUA